GUACUUCUGACGAGUCCCAAUCUAGGACGAAACAGUCGUCCAGUAC
rnacentral:hammerhead_ribozyme from 1 species